CGACUUCCCGGACGCGUCCAGUCUCCCGAUCACCGUGAGAGUGCUGUUGACGAACUUCCCCGCCGUGAACACCAGCACCAGCGGUACCAGCAUCACCUCCUCCCGCAUUGAUACGUGGAAGCCCGCGCCCUGCACCCUUCCGAGGAAGGUGGAGCUUUCGUCGGGGCCGACCCUCAGCACGGUGUCGUAGAUCUCGAUGUUCCCGAAGGUGUAGGGGAGGCUCAUGUUCACCACGGUGACGGUGGUGUUGUCGGGACCGAUAAAGGUCUCGUGGAAGUAGACGCGGAAGUGGAUUCUCUUCUGGAUGCCGAGUUCGAACUCGGAGGUGACCGGGAAGGCCGUGGCAGCAGCCUGGAGGAGGAAGAAGACGAGGAGGAAGUAGAGAUGAGUGGAGCUGUGUGGGGAUGAAGCCAUGGCUAGGAUGACACAAGGAUCGAAGUGAGGUGGGUACAACGCUGGAUCAGGAACAUGUGUUUAUAGAGUAAUGUCUGCGCCAUGCGUCGUUGACAAAUACCAACUUUCAUAAACAUGUAAACACCAUGCCACACGGAGAUGGAAGAUGGAAGAUGGAAGUAAUAUAGAUAAUCUUGAGCAAUGAAGAUGGAUAACUGAGAGAUCGAUGAUAGUUGCAAGCAGUGGCCAAUGAGGAUAGUGUUGCGUCUUCUGCUAGUGUCAACUGGCCACAUGUAACUCAUGAAUUUGUCUUUUUCUUAACCAACCACAUCGUUCGAUGAUAGUUGCAAACGUUGACAUAAUGCAUGUCAACGUUUCCAUGUGAAUAACACCCACAUAAUCCUUCACCUAUCAAAGGUGUGAUCGGUUGACAAAGUUCAUCAUUAUUAUGUAAGGUACAUUUAUAUUAGAGGAUCGUCAAAUGCCAGUGCAUGUCAUGGUACUUUUCAAUGUGCAUAAUUGACACAAACUGUGUGGAAUCUCUCCCUCUUACUUGCCCCUUCACACAAUGCAUUUCUUUAUCAACAUAUGUUUGCUUCACCUGAGUCAACUGUUCAUGUGAUCCACACUAAAGCCUCCGUCGGUUCAGCAAAAUCGGCUAAUUGUCGUUACUUAAUGUUGAAAAUUGAUAACAAGUCUUUGUAAGACUAUCAAUUAAGAAUUUUGCACAUUUAGUCUCAAGUUGAUUAGAGAUUUAAAGAGUCAAUAGCUAAUGAAGAAUCAAAUAUCUUGAAAGGCAAAGAACCGGUCCUACUUAACAAUUUAUUAACAUUAAAAGAGCUCAAGAUUAAUGUUUUUUUUUAUUGAGGUAAAUAAUUUGUGAAAAAUAAGAGUAUUAUUUUAGACAAAAUAAGUAGUAAAAAAGAGGAUCAAAUUGAUUAACGAAACGUGGCAUGUCCACGAAUCUUAAAGCAUCAGAUUGCAUCAGUAACUAGCGACCACCAAAGCAGUCUCCACGGUGAGAAGGGGGAAAUGACGAUGUGAAGAAUCGCAGAGGCGGCUCUCCUCUUUGUCCUCCUCGGUGGCAACGAGCGCGAUUUGGUGAUCAAGGUCCGAUCACUUACGAUCCCUUCUCGUCCAAUUUUCCCAAUCUUGGUUAGAGUUUUAAUUUGAUGGAGUGCUUGACGCCGUCUUGUAGUUUUGAUGUCAAUUUCUUGGUGCGAUCUACUGUUCGAUCAGAAUCUUUGAUGGGUCCUAGCCGAUGAUCAUGCAACCUAGUUGCUCUAUGAUCAACGAAAACGAAACCUAAUAUUAUAGUUUCUUUUUCCUCUCAGUUUAGAUUCACUUCUUCCCCUUGAUCACGCAAGUAGUCGAAGCUUAACUGCAGGAAUUGUUCGAGUUUUUUUCACGUAUUUGAGCUUUUUGUGUCGUAACCUACUACGUUUUCUUGAUUUUAGACUGAACUAGGCUUUGCACUUGGUUGCUAUAUAUGCAUUCAAGAUAAUACUCUUGCCAUCAAAUCAUUGAAUUAUGUGGGGAUUAUUCAUCGAACAGAUUCCCUUUAAGUCGCAUAGUCUUUUGUUCCUUUCCCUGGUUCUGUUGCUUGUUGCAUAUCUUAAGUACAUUACUGUUUCCUAUGUCUGCAUCUCAUGUAUUUCACGUUAUCCAAGCAAGAAAUUUGUCAGAUGUGCAUGAUGUUCAACCAAUUGAUCUAAUAAACGCCAACUUUAUCUACACAUCAAUUGAAAGAAAAGAACAUCUUAUCAUUAUUCCAGUUUCACAGCUAGAAAGUAGUGAUGCAUCUGAAACUGUAGCUGUAUGUGAAAAUUUCGGCAAGUCAGGUAAAAGAAGUAAGUAUUAAGAAGGAAAUGUAUUGGUACCCCUUCCAAUAAGGAGAUAAUAGUUAAACAAGUUGCUAUCGAUUAAACUUAUGGGUCAUAUAAUUUAGACCUUUUUAGGUCUCGUCUACAUUGUUAGUUGUUAUCAAGGAAGUAACUAGCAAUUUAUUGUGAUUCAUGAAUUCCUUUGCAUAGGAUGGAUUUAAUAAUGUUGCAUGAGUAAGGCUUUCUGCAUUAUGGCAUGGCUCAUGUUGAUAAUAUGCGGGCACAUAAAAACUACUGUAAGGGUCUACUUACAGAACCUUAUAGGAAGAUGUUUUGGAUAAUGGCUACAUGCAAUUAGUGGUGUUAAGGAAGGGACCUAUUUUUGGGUUGAUUACAUUGUAACAUUGCAGUGCCUUUAAAUUAGUAAGCUGCAAUAUAGAGAUUAAUAAGGGAACGUUGUGUACUCUUCUGAACCAAAUGAUGUUGUAUUUCUUCUUAUUUGGAGGUUUCAAGUUUCUUGAUUGAGUUUCAUUUUGUUGUAGUCUUUAUCUAAAUUUGACUCUUAAAAACCUCGAGUAAUUUAGUGAAUGUUGUUGGAUAAUGCUUCAAUCAUAGUUGGUGUGUUGCCAUCUAUAAUUAACUCCAGAUGACUAGAAGACGGGAGGAACUAAAAGACAAUCAAGUAAAAUGUUGGUAAACAAAACUUAAUAGGUACAAAGGCAUUUUAGUUUUUAGGUUGUUCAUUUAGUUGAUGUCACAUGGAAUAUCAUGUCCACAUCCACAAACUAUGUUUGUUUGUAGAGAGUACCUGUGCCAUUUAUUAGAUUCUACCCAACUAUCAUGUGACAAUAACAAUAUAAAAGGUUGAUUUUUUUAAUAUAUAGCGUCCUCAGAUUUGUCCAAUGAUGCAACUCAAAUUAGAUGAUUUUUGGCGACUUGAAACUUCAAAUACGUCUGCUUGAGUACCAUGGGUGCCAGCAGCAUUAUCUAGGCCAGUUUCACAUCAAUUUUAAGAGUAGCUGGAUGAUGAUAAAUUAAACCAUAUCAUCAAGACUCCUGCUUCUGUGUAUUGUAGUUUUAUUGAUCCUGAUCUUCCAUUAGAAUUUUAAGACUCAUGCAUGCGAAUACAUCAGAACGUCCUUUAAUUGAUGAAUUCUUUACCUCUGUCUUGACGAGCAGUUUCACCAGGAAUCAAACUAAUGGUGCAUGGCCUGAAGAAUGUAUGGGGAUCAAUGCGUGCAGUAGUUUCCACAGCAUGUGAGUUUAUGGUACUAACAUCAAAAGGAGCCGCUGAUGAGAAUAUUGUAGAGCAAAGACUGCUCAAGGAGCUGUGCAAACAUGGCUUUUAAUAAAAUUGACUUGGAUAGGGAGUUUUCUUGGGCUAAAAGAUUAUGACCUGUAGCAGUCCAUGGAUGAGCUUUUUGGUUGUGUAUGAUGAAUAGAUUUUUGCCUUGAGAGCAGAGCUUCAGGUUCUCGUUAGCCUGUAACUCCUUGCUUCUUUUAUCACAUGCUUUAGUGAUCCUCGAUGCCUGCAAGAUUACUGAAACUAAUAUUUGAGAUUGGUAGCCCAAUUUUUUCUCUCUCCAGUGGGUAGUUCAUUUGGUACCCUAUGGACUCGGUAUCUUUCCUUGCUUAUCCCGUAGCAGCAGCGGAAAUUUUGGUAGGAGAAGCUUUAGAUUGACUUUGUUUUCUCCAGUUUGUGGUACAAAUAUCAUUAUCUGAUGUGGUGUCUCUUGAGAUUGAUGUGGCAGGUUCUAAAUCUUACCAGGUAUUAAAGGAUUGUGGAUGUUACUUUUUCUUCUUUUUGAUUCCGUUGAAAUCUUUUGGUAGGUUGUAACUCACAGACGGAGAUUGAGCCGCAGCAAAUUGACUUGAAGAGCAUCAUCAUGGCAGCAACUGGGCUUGGACUUGUUUGAGGGAAGGUCACUUGGACUGGUAUGCUACUUAGCCCAAUCCAAUUGUUUGGUUACCGCAAAGCUCACUGGUUCAACAGAGAUGCAUACUAUUUCACGAGGGAUUACCUUGUUUAACUUUUGCUCCUAAGCCAUACAACACCAACGCUAACAGCUGAAGAAGAAUAUUUGGGAGUCUCAAUUAGAUCUUACAGAUCGUGUUCUCCCCUUCUGCUGCUUAGGAGGAUGGCGACGAAGCUGAGGCCAGCGCAGCCGCCGGUGACGAGGUUGCCCUCGCGGACGAGGAUCUUGAGGGCGACGGCGCUGAUGUCGGCGGUGAUCCGCCGCCCCUCCAUCACCAGCGCCCGCCACGGCUUCCCGGCGAAGGCGAGCAGCACCAGGACGGUGCAGCACGUGACCAGCGUCGCUGGCACCGCCACCGGUAGCGCUGCCCCCACGGACAACAUCCCGAACAACUCUCCGUACUGAUUGUGUAAAUGUAAAGACAAAGUUUGAUUGAAGCUUAUUAACAUGUUCCCUGGGGGGAGGAUUUUCAGAGCAGUGAGAUUUCCUCGUGCAAUCGGAGAAAUCUUAUUUGCUAUCACAUACAGCACCGACGUAUACAACCUCGACGACCAUGAUGAUGAGGAGGACGAGGAGGAGGCGACGAUGUUGUACCAGGAAUGGAUGGCAAGGAGGAGGCCCCAGGAGCAAUGAAGGAGGAGGGUGUAGAAGAGGAGAAAGAGGUAGACCCAUGUCCGCCUCUUGUUCGUAACUCUGGUAUGUCCGCGGUCGCCCUUGGAUGCUUGUUUCUCAUGGCCAGUGCUGCAGUUGCUGUUGCAGAAGAAGUGGAUGUGUAGCAGAAGCAAAAGUAAGUCCAACUCUGCUUGUGUCUCUGAGUUUCCCACCUUAGUCAAGCCAGCUGAAUAGCCUACUCACUUUUUUUAAUUUUUAUUAUUGUUUUAUCAUUUUUUAGAUGAAUGAUAAUAUUUAUAUAUGAAAAGAUAUUUUAUCUCAUUAUUUUACUUAAUAUUUUAAUAUUUAUAUCGAUAUUGGACUAACGGGAGAUGCCUUGCUCGGAUAGAAUAUAUCUAAGGGGGGAUAUAUAUAACUGAUAAGGGUAAUAAUUGUAAUAAGACUCACGUGACAUCAGCUGCAUCAGGUGACGCAUCACGCCUCUGUUGACUUGAUGAGGCACCUGGUCAACGUGGAUCGGAACGCCUACCAAGGCGCAUUAACGCUCUGUUCAGGUUCGAUCCCUCACGCCACGCCAACGGCAACGUUAGACGCUACCAGAAGUACGGUCCCGCUCCCUGCGGGCCAGCACAUUAGACAACGGUAAUUAUCACUAUAAAAACCCUCGCACUCUGAAGGGAAAAAAAGGGGGGGAGGGAAGGGAGAAAUCCCCUAGGACCAUCCACUAACUUGAUCGUCAGAGGGAUCGGGUCGAGCUCCCCGACCCGACCUUUGUGUAGGUGCGAAGGCGGAGGUCGUCCACCAAAGGCGCAGGCGGGGGUUCCCUCCCGGUGAAAACAGCGACCUCGUCCCAAUCGGAACACCGUGAUCGGCCACCUUAGCAGUCGGGAGGAGCGUCCCAGGAAGAUCCCCGUCAUCCGGACCCGAACCAAACCGCGUCGGUCCCGAUGCCACGGCUUAAAGUUGUUCACACUAACACUAACAUUUCGAUGUUUGUAUUAUGUUGGGACAUUUUUUUUUCGGUGAGAUAGUGAGUUGAGUAUUUUUUAUCCGAUCAAAAAGUUAUUUGAUAUAUUUAUAUUAUUGGGAUCAAUAUAGUAUAGAUGGGUCUAAUUUCUCUUACAAAAAAGAAUACCAUGAUUUAAACAUUGGGACUGAAAAAAAAUCUUAUAAGAUGCAAAGUUCAAGCACUAUCUUGGGUGGUCAGGUUGGGAACUCAUUGGAAGCUCUAUUACCACCGAUUAUGUAAGGUUAAAUUAUUUAAUUAGAAAAUAUUUAUUUUGCAUGUCAUAUUGAUGCGAAACAUCAUUAUUUUCAAACUAAUUAUCUCCUAUUUAUAUCGAAUCCAGAUUAAUUAUCCAUUGAAUUGUACCUAAUUUAUAAGGAUUCGCUGAAGGUAAAAUAAGCUUGAGAUAAUAUAUGAGUUCCACCCUUAAAAGAGAUGAUGAUUGAGCAAUUAGUUUAUCCCUCUAACUAUGGAGUAGGUUGGGAAGUCGAUGAAGCUCGAAAGAGAGGAUCCUGAGCAAGCAAUCAACCAACCUCAGUGGUUCUUCACUGAAAGGAGGAAGCAACGUAAGCAACAUCUAUGGAUGAGAGCAUUUUUCAUAUUUUUAAUGGUGGAGAAUCCCCGUUGAUUUGAGUUGAAAGUGUCAACUAGAAAUAAUCAAUAGAUCAUGGUCGCUAAUAUCAAGUUAUCUCCGAUAACAUCAAAAUCUCACUUCAAUAAUAUCUUCCAUUGUAAGAAUCCAACCCACAACAAUUAAAUACAAGAAAUGUGAUAGGGAAAGAGAUCAACUUCAAAAUCUCUAUGAGAAUGAUCGUUAGAUUUAAUAUUAUACUGGAUAGUAAUUGUAAUACCCCAAUUAGAAGUGAUAUGGUGAUAAUUGUCCAUCAGGACUUCUUUUAUAUUCUCAUAAAACUUUUCAUUAACUCAAGCAAAGUUCUUCAUGAUGUAUCACAUGUUAUGAAUAGUAUAUAUAAAUAGGGGAUCGAUACAUGAACCACCAUAUAUUGGGAGGUACAUAUUACAUGACCCUAUAUUAGACAAUACAGGAUCUAUACCAAUUGGUAUUGAUUGAAAUCCAAUCAUUAUAAAUUUGUGCUGACAAUUAUAUUGGGAGGUUACAAUUGCUUUAUUUUAAAUGAUCAAUUUGAUUGUUUGAACUAUAGAGAAGGGGUUUUAAACCCUUUCUUCUCUCCUUUUUCUACCAAUUUCACUCAAUCUUUUCAACUCUUUCUCACUUAUAUCUUUUUCUCAUUGUCAUGUUUUCACUCUCUUAAACUCAUCAUAACUAUAAUUCAUGGAUUAGAACAAAUGUGAGAGGCUAAUUUAGAAGGAUUACAAGAAGAAUAUUUUGAUCGAGAGGUAUAUAUUAUCAUUCUAGAUUUUUAUUUAUAUAUGAGAUGAUUAAGCCUAUUCUAUGUUUAUUUAUACAAUUUGAUGGUGAUGUAUCUAGAGGAGCAAUCUUUUACACUUGUCAUCUAGAUUCAGGCUCGAUAAUGUACUAGUUAAAUUUACACUAUGCCAUAAUGGGGGUUGAGGAGGAGGAUGCGACAUGAUGACAUUUACUGAUGAGAGCUUCUUUCAUAUUCUUAAUAGUGGAGAAUCUCUCGUUGACUUGAGUUUAAAAUGUCAACAAUAAAGACUCCGCUAAUAUCAAGUUAUCUCUAAUAACAUCAAAAUCUCACUUCAAUAAUAUGUAAAAAUCCAACCCAAGACAAUCGAAUAUAAGAAAUGAGAUUGGAAGGAGUUUGACUUCAAAAUCUCUAUAGAAAUGAUGUUAGAUUUAAUACUAAACUAGAUAGUAAUUGUAACACCCCAAUUGGAAACAAUGUGGCAACAAUCAUUGGCAAGGGCUUCUUUCAUAUUCUUAAGGUGGAGAACCUCCUAUUAAAUCAAGUAAGAUUCAUUGUACCAUGAUAUACCAUCUGAGACAAAUGAUACAUAUCAUUCUGACAAGGGAUUAGCAUGCGAACAGUCAUAUAUCGGGUGGUACACAUUACAUGAUUCUAUAUCGGAUGAUACGUGAUCUAUACCGAUCGAUAACGAUUGAAAUUUAAUUAUUACUGACUUGUACCAAUCGGUAACAAUUGAAUUUUGAUCGUUAUCAAUCAAGAGCUAAGAUUGUCUUAUUUUAAAUGAUCAAUUUGACUAUUUAAACUAUAAAAAAUAUUUUUAUAUCCUUUCCUCUCCCCACUCUUUCAACCCAUUUCACUCGAUCUUUUUAACUUUUUCAAACUCUUCUCACUCACAUCUUUUAUCUCAUUCUUAUAUUUUUACUUUCUUAAACUCAACAAAGCUAUAAUUAUAUAUUAAAUCAAAUAUAAGAUGUUAAUUUGAGAGGAUUAAAAAGAAUAACACUUUAAUUAAGAUAUAUAUAUAUAUAUAUUUCUUUUUAAAUUUUAUAUUUAUAUAUAAGAUAAUUAAGCUUAUUCUAUGUGGUCAUGUCUAUACAAUUUUAUACUUGUCACCCAAGAUUUAGAUCAUGAAACUCGACGAAAUACUAGUUAAGUUUAUACACGGGAGGGAAGGGAAAAACAAUGGAUGAUUUUGAAUAGAUGUGAUAGAGUAUACAUGACAUAGAUAUAGAUCAAACCUCGUCAUAUUCACAACCAUUGUAUUGUGAAGAAUCUUAAGACUAAUAGUAGUAUGAUGAUAGUUGAUUAUUCUUUUCCAAGUAGUAGUAUGAUGAUCAAUCUUAUGAUAUAGAGCAACAGAUCAGUGACGAAAGUAAAAGUUUAAACAUUCAUAAUGCUCCAUACUAAUAUAUGUCAUAAUUGUCCUUGCCUCAGGAGCCAUCUACGUGGUUCAUGACGAUCAACUUAUAACCAUCACAACAUUGAUGUACCAUUAACAUACGAUGUAUGUAACACCCUACUUCUACCCUACAUGUAUAACUAAAAUAUGAUGUCAUAUUUUAAAUUUUUAUUACUGCUAUCAAUAGGAGAGUAGUGAAAGUAGAUAAUCUUAAAAUUAAAACAUGCUAACUUACUUAACAAAAUGAUAGGAUUUCUCCUAUAUAUAGUAUUUUGGACAUUUAUACAUAAUUAUAGCCUCUAACUAAGAGAAAAACAUAAAUAUAACAAGUCCAAAAUUUAUACACACAAAACACCUACAGAACAUCAUGCAUAUCUAAGCUGGUAUAGGCUUGCAUAUACUCACUGCUCUACCCAAUCACUUGGGUGGGGUAUUAGUAAUGAGUACACUCAAUAAGUAUAAGCCCUUAUAGCUUUAUUUAGGUAGCAUAUAUCAUAUCAUAUAUGUAAUAUUUUAAAAUUAUUGGCGUAAGACAUUUAAUGGAAAACUCCCUUAUCAUAUAACUUCUUUAGUAAACAUAAUCCCACAACAUAGCAUAUAUAAAAUAAAGAGUUAAAGUUCUACUUCAAAAUAAUUCAAAAUGCUUAUAUGCAAAUAUAGGAAGUAUAAUAAAUUCAUUGACUUCUAUGCCCUACAUCAUAAUAUAUAUUUGCAUUCCCAUAUCAUAUGUUAUUAUAAUAUAUACGUGCACUCUCACACUACACGUCAUAAUAUUUACAUACACUCCCACAUUAUACAUCAUAGCAUAUACGUGCAUUACAUAUCAUAAUAUAUUCGUGUACUCACGUACCAUACAUCAUAGAAAAUAUAUACACUCUCAUACCAUAUGUCAUCAUAUAUGUAUACGUAUAUGAUAUUUUUAUCAUAAUUCAUAUAUUUUUAGACUUACAAAAUAUAUACAUUCAUAUUUAACUAAUGCUUUGCUCAUGACAAUCCUAUCAUUCGAAAUAUAAUUUUUAAAUUGUAUUAUACAUAUGACACCAUUAUUUUAUAGUAAAUUAAACUUAUACUUAAUUAAACUUAAAAAUAAAGAUAUUAAUAAAAAAUCAAGUUCUUUAAUAGUCGAAUGUAUUAGGGAGUGAUACUCCUUGGAGCAAAAGGUCAUGAGAUGUUUUAAUUAAUAAUCCUACCUCUUGAAUUAUUGAUUUAUAAUAAUUUAUAAUAAUAAUUCAUAAAAAAAAAAUUGAUAAAAAUCUCUUAUAAAAUAAAUUAUACUCAUCCUAAUAAUAUAUGAAGUUAUUCCUUCUCCAUGGUAGCUAAAAUUCAAAUUGAAUUAGUGUCGAAAGAUUAGAGAUCCAUGGCAAAGUAUGAUGUCGUAAUUACAUAUUAAUUGCGUCAUACAAAAAGGUGAAACAUCGUUUGUGCGUUCUUAUAUUUGCUUCCAUGUAAAAUGCUUUAAUUACAUUAAAUUAUAUGUGACAUUGACACAUAAACACACAGUUUUUAUUUAUUUUAAGAAAAAGAUAAAGUACAAAGUGACAAGUAAUUAUAUGCGACAUUGGCACAUAAACACACAACAGAGAGAGAGAGAGAGAGAGAGAGAGAGAGAGAGGAUAUAUAUAUAUAUAUAUAUANNNNNNNNNNNNNNNNNNNNGAGAGAGAGAGAGAGAGAGAGAGAGAGAGAGAGAGGAUAUAUAUAUAUAUAUAUAUAUAUAAGGCGGAGAUUCUUCGUGUCAUGUAUUAAGCUUCGGUGACAUCUCGAAUCAUGCGAUGGCACUGUGAUGGAGGUCGUUGUAGUAGACGACGUAGACGUCGUAGGCGACGACGAGCUUCGCGACAGAGGACGUCACCGUCUCGGUCACCAGCUUCCCCCAUGCGUACUGGAACACCCCCGUCCCUCCCACGAUGGCCCGCUCCGAGUUCCCGGACGCGUCCAGUCUCCCGAUCACCGUGAGAGUGCUGUUGACGAACUUCCCCGCCGUGAACACCAGCACCAGCGGUACCAGCAUCACCUCCUCCUGCAUUGAUACGUGGAAGCCCGCGCCCUGCACCCUUCCGAGGAAGGUGGAGCUUUCGUCGGGGCCGACCCUCAGCACCGUGUCGUAGAUCUCGAUGUUCCCGAAGGUGUAGGGGAGGCUCAUGUUCACCACGGUGACGGUGGUGUUGUCGGGACCGAUAAAGGUCUCGUGGAAGUAGACGCGGAAGUGGAUUCUCUUCUGGAUGCCGAGUUCGAACUCGGAGGUGACCGGGAAGGCCGUGGCAGCAGCCAGGAGGAGGAAGAAGACGAGGAGGUGGUGGAAAAGAGAGGAGCUGUGUGGGGACGACGCCAUGACUAGGGUGGUGGAUGGACAAGGAACGUGAAGUGAGAAGUGAGAUGAGCACAACAAUAAGAGGGAAAGUGUCUUUAUAGAGCAUUGGCUUAUGGCUCUGUCAUCAUCAUACAUAUCAUAUUUAUCACAGGUAAGUAUGAUGUACACAUCAUCAUAUUAAUAUUUAAGAGAUUAAAAUUAAAUAAUAUUUUGAAUCCUUAAUAUUCGAUAAAUAAGUCUUUUAGAUGUAAGAAUAUCUCAAAUAAAUUUUUGAAUAAUCAACCUUUGAUAAGUGGAUCAUCAUUAUAUUUAUACACGGAAAUGAAUCAUUUACAAUUAAUUAGACUUUGACAUGUUAAACUCAAUCAAUUCAUGAACUAUUAUUGAAAAUAUUUAUGGGUAUACGAUUAGAAAAAUAAGCUUAUAUGACUAAGGAUUGAAAGAAUCAGAUAACAUAAUAGUUUAAGUCUUUGGAUUGAAUUAAUAUCUUACUUGAUAUAUAUAUUAACUCUGAUCAAUUUGAUUCAAACUCAUCAAUAGUCAUACAACUAUGACAUGAACAAGCUCUAAAUUGAAGAUUUAUCGGGCAAGCUUAUUGAACUCAUCCAAGAGUCUUAUGGGUGCUAUUCAAAACAAAAUUGGACAAUCGUAUCCUCAUUGAACUUGGAAGAAAUCGACUCGAGCCACGUUAAUUUAGAUAUUGAGGUUGGAUUCCCCUAGUUGGACAUCUUAGUCGAACCUCAAAGUCAAAAGUCAUUCCAUCUUCCAACUAGAGCAACAAGAAUUCGGAAAAAAAUAAUGAACCAAAUCGAGUCAAGUUCGCCGGAUCUAAGUUCGACCGAAUGGUGUAUUUGGAGUCCAUCCUUCCAAUGCGGGGGGAAGAAGAUGGCAUAAAAUGCAAUAAGCGAUGCAUAAUAACACCGGUGGACGCCCGGUGAUUACAGCAUACGGGCUCUCGAUCGGUAGGUGCCUCGCUCUCCGCCUUCAGCAAGCAACGUAGACGUACAGCGACGGCUCUCGGUCGGUAGGUGCCUCGAAUGCAGGUGUCGCUGGGGAGAUGGGUGAUGGAGGUCCAAAAGAUGAGGCCAUUGACAUGAUCGAUGUCGACUGUAAUCUUCUCAUCUUAGGACAAGAUCUUCCACCUCACGGUCUCGUACGUUGCAUGGUGGGUGAACGAGGAGGAAGCCAUCGAUCGGGCGUUGGUUUCCUCCGUACACUUAUCUUUUCUCCAUGCUGUAGCUGUCGGUGAUCACAUUUGUUGCAUGUGAUACACGUUUUCUUUUUUUUUUUUCACCUUUGUCGUGUACUCUAAUUCUGAAAGAACCAUCACUUUCUGAUCACUGUACAUGACUGUGAUUCUUGCACAGUCAUUGAUCUAUUUCUUCUAAUAAUUGACUAUGAUUCUUGCACAAGAGAACUCGUAAAGCAUGAAAAUUUGAUAUUAUUAAUUAAUUUUAAUAAUAAUUUUAUUUUUAAAGUAAACAAAUAAAUUAAAAGAAAAUGGAGAAUUGCAUAUUCUCCACUCUGUUGAUACCCCUAUUUACUUGAGAGGAGACCAAUGUAGUUUCUACAAUCAAGUCAAACUAGAGUCUAAAUCAAAACUAUGUAGACCUCCCUUCCAUCCCUCUAGCUAGGUCUCAUUCGGUGCCAACCGACACCAUCGAAACUUUAGCUCAGUUUGCUUAAAUGUUCAGCUAGUAAACAUACAAACAUAUCACUUUCCAUCAAUAUAAAAGUACAUAUAUAUAUUACAAUAAUAUGUGAUAUGAUAGUACACACAUAUGUUAUGAUAUAAGGCGUAGAAGAUCAUACAUUUUUUAGGCUUCCUACAUGUGCAUAUAAGUAUUUGAAUUAUUUCGAUAUAAAAUUUUACCAUCUUAUUGUAUAUAUAAUGUGUUGUAGGAUUAUUUAUACAUGCUAAAGAAUUUAUAGGAUGAUGUGUCUAUCAUUAAAUACUUUAUGUUAAGGAUUUUAAAAUAUUAUAUACAUGAAAUGAUGUGCUCACAUAAAUAAAACAAUAAAGACUUAUAUUUACUGAGUGAUUAAUCACCGUAGAUCAUAUUUUACAGAUAAAAAUAUUAGUAUCCCACUCAAGUGAUUGUAUAGGGAAGUAAGCACAUGUAAGCCCAUGCUAGCAUAGAUAUGAACGAUGAUUUUUCAACAUUUUAUGUAUAUAAAUUUUGGACAUAUUAUAUUUAUGUUUUUAUUUGGUUAAAUGAUAUAAUCAUGUAUUUAAAACAUUAUGGAUAGGGGAAACCCUAUUAUUUUGUUUAGUAAGUUAGCAUGUUUUAAUUUUAGGAUUGUCAACUUUCCAUUGUAGUCAUAUUGAUAUCAGUAAUUAAAAUUUAAAAUGUAACAUCCUAUAUUAAUUAUACAUGUAAGAUAUGGAAGAAACUAGAAGUAGAGUAUUACAUAUUCAAUGUUCUUGAUAUCGAAUCCAUCUAUGAUAGACUCGGUGAAAGGCUACAGUUACAUCCAAGUCAUCCUUUAAAGAAUCAAAAUAUAUAUUAACAAUUAUGAAAUGUGAAAGAUUUUUUAACUAAUAAAUUAACUAGAAAAAUUGAAUGAACGAAUGAAUGCCAUGUUUAUGGGAGGAAUAGGUACAUGUCAUUUUGUCAAGGCACGUGAUUUAUUUGGAAUUUAAUGUAACUUAUUCGCAUUAUGUUGAUUAUAGUUUGCGACAAAUGUAAAGAUUCCAUAUCAAAAAAUAAAUUCCGAUGUGCAUGUGUUAGAUCCCUUAUGAAACUUAAUUAUUUAUAGAGUGACUUUAACAUAUAGUAAAUAAGUUUGUAUCUAUGUAACUUGGAUGAUCAUAUUGUGAAAUAUACAAAUAAUAUCUCAAGUUAUUCCUUCUCCGUAGUAGCUAAAUUUCAACUACAUUUGGUGUCGAAAGAUUAGAGAUCCAUGACAAAGUAUGAUGUUGUAAUUACAUAUUAAUUGCGUGAUAGAAAAAGGUGAAACAUCGUUUGUGUGUUCUCAUAUUGCUUCCUUGUCCGAUAAUUUAAUCGCAUUAAAUUAUAAGCGACAUUGAUAGGUUGAUGUUCACAAAAACACACAACACUAACAUUAUGACCCAUCGACCAUUUUGUACCCACUUGAUUCAGUUUUUAGAAUUAUAUUUGUCUGUUUCCAAAAAAAAAUAUUUCUUUAUGUAGUACGAAGUAUUUUUUUGAAUUAUAGUAUAUUAUAGUGAAAUUUUUGACAGAUAAGCUCACUCUACAGGAGAUGAGAUUUUUACCUCAUAACACUCAUCGCUUAAUUCUUUCCAAGUAAUUAGAUCCUUUUCAUCAAAGCAUUCAUAAUCUUUUAUAUAUAUAUAUAUAUAUUAUUGAAUUGAGCUGUACAAUAUUAUUUUAGUUGAUCUUAUUAACAACUUUAUAGUGUGGUCCGAUGCAUAAUACUGCUACUAAUCCUAAAUAGGAGAAGAAUAAAUUUACUAUAGUCAUAUAUACCUACAGCUAUGAAAAAUAAAGCAUGUCACCGUACUGUGCUGCAAAAUAUCGAGGUUUGUAAAAGCUUUUCUUUCUCAAUAAUAAGAAGCUUUUCUUUAUUUUAAGAUAAAGAUGGAAGUACAAAGUGACACGUAGAAUAGCAUUUAUUUCAGCCUUUUGUUUUGUCCUUAUUCCAACCGCUGUCUUCAUGGAGUGACACCAUAGCCGGAGUUCUUUUUGUCGUGUAUUAAGCGUCGGUGACGGCAAGGUCUCGCAAUCAUGGGCUGGCACUGCGACCGACGUCGGUGUAGUAGAUGACGUAGACGUCGAAGGCGGCGACGAGGCCCUCGACGGAGGACGUCACCAGCUCGCUCGCCAGCUUUCCCCAUGCGUACUGGAACACCCCCGUUCCACCCACGAUGGCCCGCUCCGCUUUCCCGGACGCGUCCAGUCUACCGAUCGCCGUGAGUGUGCUGUCGGCGAACUCCCCCGCCGUGAACACCAGUACCAGCGGUAUCAGAGACGCCUCCUCCUGCUGCGACAUGUGGAAGCCCGCGCCCUGCGCCCUUCCGACGACCGUCGAGCUAGCGUCGGAGCCGACCCUCAGCACGGCGUCGAAGAUGUCGAUGUCCCCGAAGGUGUAGGGGAGGCUCAUGUUCACCACGGUGACGGUGGUGUUGUCGGGGCCGAGAAAGGUCUCGUGGAAGUAGACGCGGAAGUGGAUUCUCUUCUGGAUGCCGAGUUCGAACUCGGAGGUGACGGGGAAGGCCGUGGCAGCAGCGAAGAGGAGGAAGAAGACGAGGAGGUGGUGGAUAGGAGAGGAGCUGUGUGGGGACGAAGCCAUGACUGGGGUGGUGGAUGGACAAGGAACGUGUUAUACUUGGCAAAGAUUGACAAGUGAGAGGAGCACAAGGCUGGAGGAGGGAGAGCGUAUUUAUAGAGUAUUGGCUAUGUCAUCGUCGUGCAUAUAUCAUAUCUAUCAUAUUAGACGAUAUUUUAGACUCUCUUAAAAAGGUAAGUAUGUAAGCAUCAUCAUAAUAAUAUUUUAGAGAUUAACAUUAGAAAGGAUUUCAAAUCCUCAAUUCAAAGUUGAGUCUUUUAGAUGUAAGAAUACCUCAAACAAAAUUUUUGAAUCAUCAAACAAUAAGUGAAUUUUCAUCAUGUUCAAAGAUUAAAAUGAAUCAUAUACAAUUAAUGAGACUUAGCAUGAUAAAUUUAAGUAAUUAUUAUUGAAAAUAUUUAUGCAUGUGAGAUAAAAAAAGAUGAGCGAAAAGUAAUAUAUGACUAAAGAUUGAAGGAAUCAGAGUACAGAAAGUCGGUUUGACAAGUAACACCACGUUUAGCCUUCCUCUUGAACGCCGGUCUCGUUCCAAAAUCGCCGGACGGACCACUUCGCUCUCCGCCGACAACACGCAACGUGUAGCUUCGCUGGGAUACGGGUGAUGCAGGUCAAAGAAGAUGAAGCCAUCGACAUGAACGAUGUGGACUGUAAUCGUCUCCAUCCUCGUCUUCUCAUCUUAGGACUAUAUCUUCCACCACACCGAAUCAUUCGUUGUAUGGUAGGUGAACAAGGAGGAAAGCCAUCAUCCAUGGGACUGCUUUUGGUUGGUUAAUCCUCACACUAGCUUCUCUCGAUGCUGUACCUGAUGGUGAGGCUUCUUGUGCACGUUUUGUUUCCAAAAAAUCUGUCUAUUUUGUUGAGAAAAUAUUUUCAUCUUAAUCAGUAUAAAUAGGGGGAAAAUAGCUUCAAUGUAAAACAGUUUUUUCAAUAAUUCUUCUUGUCUUCUAUUCUUUCCAACAUGAUAUCAGAGCAAGUGAGAAGAGCGAGACUCCAUGGCCAUCGAAGCCUGUUAUUCACCACAUCUCUUACCUUUGUAGAGCAGAGAAGGGGGUGAACUCUUUUCCAUCGGACUCGCUUCCCUGUCGGACUCCCCUCUCCGUCCGCUGAUACCCCAGUCGCUGUCGUGACCACACCCGGCAUCGCAAUCAUGUGCGACCACAACAACGAGGGCCUGUUUUGGUGCGACUGGCUACUCGCCCUCGGCAGUGGAUCCCUCUCCAACCCUGUCCGCUCCUUCCCUCUUCUCCUCCAUGCGGCUUUCUUCUUCAUCGGCGUCGCCUGCACCGACCCUAAGCUCGGGUUAUCUACCGCCAUAUCAUCAUCUUCAUCAGGUUGUGAUCUAUAUCAAUCGCAGCCUGCUGCCUCGGUGUCAACUGUCGAUCCUUAGCUCCUACUAAGAGCUAAUCGCUACAGCUUCCUCCUACUGCAGCUUCCUCAUGUUGCAGCAUCGUUGUAGCUUCCUCCUCUGUUGCAGCAUCGUUGCGGCUUCCUCCUCUGUUGUAGUUUCUGCUGUAGCUUUCUCCUAUGCUGGAGCAUUGCUGCAACUACCUCCUUUGCUCCGACUUCCUCCUUUAUUACAUCUAUGCUGCAGCUACCUCUUCUACUAUAGCUUCCUCCUCUAUUGUAGCAUUACUACAGCAUCGCUGCAGCUUUCUCCUAUACUGUAGCUUCCUCCUCUUCUGUAGAAUCACUGCAGAUUCCUCCUCUGCUAUAGCAUCGUUGCAGCUACCUCCUCUUCUGCAUCUACCUCCUCUACUGUAGCAUGAUAGCAGAUAAGAUUUCUCUAACUAUAUGAGAAAAUCUAGAGUUGAGAGAAAUCCUCCCUCUUAAUCUGUAUAAAUAGGGAGAGAAUACCUUCAAUGUAAAAUAGUUUCUUCAAUAAUUCUUCUUGUCUUCUAUUCUUCCCAACAGAUAAAAAGGGAUGUGGACGAGGCCAUCAAAAGGAACACACGUCAUUUAUGAUUACUGCUCGCUGCUCUUUGUUACUCGCCGAUGUCCUCAUCCAUCAGUAUGAACUGGAUGAGAGAAUAAUAUUCAAAAUACUCAGUUAAUAUUUUUCUUACUAACAGGAGUUUCUAUAGCUCAUGAUUCAUAACUUUAUUUUUGUCCCUUGUAUAAGAGCUGAUUUAAGUUUCUGUAUAGUUUUAUCAAUCGUGUUUUUUAUGCUAGUUUUACUUAUGACGCUGAAUGGCUUAUCUUAAUUACUAAUUGAGCAUUCAUCUCAUUAAGCAUUUAAUUAGAUGACACAGGGCACAUGCUCACGGUCACUUAUGGCUCCUCUUGCCAUCCUUCACGUGCAUGAUAUAUAUAUAUAUAUAUAUNNNNNNNNNNNNNNNNNNNNNNNNNNNNNNNNNNNNNNNNNNNNNNNNNNNNNNNNNNNNNNNNNNNNNNNNNNNNNNNNNNNNNNNNNNNNNNNNNNNNNNNNNNNNNNNNNNNNNNNNNNNNNNNNNNNNNNNNNNNNNNNNNNNNNNNNNNNNNNNNNNNNNNNNNNNNNNNNNNNNNNNNNNNNNNNNNNNNNNNNNNNNNNNNNNNNNNNNNNNNNNNNNNNNNNNNNNNNNNNNNNNNNNNNNNNNNNNNNNNNNNNNNNNNNNNNNUUGGACGUCACCAGUUUGCUCACCAUGUUCCCCCACGCGAACUGGAACACCCCAGUCCCUCCCACGAUGGCCCGGUCCGCCUUCCCGGAGGUGUCCAUCCUCCCUAUCAACGUGAGCGUGCUGUCGCAGAAGUCCCCGGCCGUGAACACCAGCACCAGCGGUAUCAGCGACGACUCGUCCCGCUGCGACGCGUGGAAGCUCACGCCCUGCGCCCUCCCGACUUCAGUCGAACGCUUGGAGGGGCCGGUCCUCAGCACGGCGUCGAAGAUGUCGACGUCCCCGAAGGUGUUGGGGAGGCUCAUGUUCACCACGGUGACGGUGGUGUUGUCGGGGCCGAGAAAGGUCUCGUGGAAGUAGACGCGGAAGUGGAUUCUGCUCUGCCGGCCGAGUUCGAACUCGGAGGUUACCGGGAAGGCUGUGGCAGCAGCCAGGAGGAGGAAGAAGACAAGGAGGAAGUAGAGAUGAGAGGAGCUGUGUGGGGAUGAAGCCAUGGCUAGGAUGACCGAAGGAUCGAAUUGAGGUGGGUACAACGCUGGAUCAGGAACAUGUAUUUAUAGAGUAAUGUCUGUGCCAUGCGUCGUCAACAAAAGCCAACUUCCAACCAAAUCUCAUUAUCAUGUCUACAUAAAAAACCCAAACGAAUAUUACUCUUGCAGGCGAAGGUCUCAGCGUAGGGAAGAAGAUAGCAUAUGGUAACACGAUGUACACACCAUAUAGUCUUCUCCAUAUAUAUAUAUAUAUAUAUAUAUAUAUAUAUAUGAUGUCGAGCAAUGGAGAUGGGUAACUGAGAGAUGGAGGGAUGAUAGUUGCAAGCAAUGGGCGAUGAGGAUAGUGUUGCGUCUUCUGCAAGUGCCAACUGGCCACCUGUAGCUCGUCAAUUUGCUUGUUAAUUAACGAACCACAUUGGCAACGCUAUCUUUCUUAAUGUGUUUCACCACAGAUGUACGCGGUUGGCUGAUGGCUGUCGCUCCCGUUUGUUCGCAUCUUCGGUUGUUGACAUGUGGAAAUGAAGUGUCGGUUCCCAUGCGUGAUCGGUACCUCACCACUCCACUUCAAGUCGCGACGUAAUUAAUGACCGACGGUGCGAUGCAAAACCUUCACUCGCCAAUCAAGUCAUUCGUGACUCAUGUGGGGCCAUUAACCAUCUUUUUGCUCUACAGUAAUCAAAGAAAAGCUCACAUGAUGUGUUCUCAUAUCAGCAUACAAAUGAAUUUUAUGUGACUUUUAAUAUACAUACAUAUUCUCUCCUGUCAAAACAUAUCCUAAACUCAUGUUUAUUUUUACCAUUAUAUAUAUCAUCACGAGACCAAAAGACAAAAAGGCAUGGGAUAACAUAACGCAUGUCAAUGUUUCCAUGUGAAUCACGCCUACAGAAUCCUUCACCUACCGAAGGUGUGGUUGGUUGUCAAAGUUCAUCAUUAUUAUGUAAGGGACAUUUUUCUCAGCAUAUCGUCAAAUGCCAGCGCAUGACGUGUUACCUUUCAAAGUGCAUAGUUGACCCAUUCCGCGUGUAAUGUCUCCUACUUAGUUGUCCCUUCACGCAAUGCAUUUCUUUAUCAGUAUACGUAUACUUCACCUGUUCAUAGCAUCCAUAUUAAAGCUUAUGUAGGUGCAGCGAAAUUAGUUAAUCGUCUAUAAAUAGGAUAGAAAUGGAUAACAAGUCUUAUUAAAGCCAUUAAUUAAGAAUUUAGAAUAGAGAUAGUAUCAUAUUUGAUUUCACAUUGAUCAGAGACUUAGAGAAUCAAUACCUAAUACCUAAUAAAGAGUCAAAUACAAAUUUUCGUUUUUUGACAGACAACUUUUGGGAUCCACCUUAGGAAAGGAAAGAUCAUGUGGUCCCGCUUAACAAUUUAUGAUUCAAAAGAGCUCGUGAUUGAAUAGUUUGUGAAAAUAAGAAUAUUAUUUGGAUAAAAAUAAAUAGUAAAAAAAGGAUCAAAUGAUAUAUGGACACGUGGCAUAUUCACCGAUCUUUAAAGCAGCCGAUCGCACGAGUAGUAAGAACUACCAAAGCUCUCUCCACGAUGAGAAAGGGCAACGAAGGCGGGGGAGUGACGAUGUGAAAGAAUCAUAAAGACGAUUGUUAGCAACCCUUGUGGUCGAGGUGCCAGCGUGGUUCGAUCCAAUCCUAAAUGCGCUUGUCCACGUAGAUGCUCGAGUGAUGGAAGUGAGCAUUAUGUCGUGUUGAGUUUGAGCCUCGUCUAUCUCAAUAUAGUUUCUCUCUUGGUGAGUGGCCUGCUUAUUUAUCACCGGACACAGGUUAGGGUCGAGAGGAAGAUUUUUUGAUUUGACCCUUGCGAAAGUUAAAUUAGUGUUGGGUGAAGUAAGAGGGAGUUAAAUGCUCAAAGUUCUUCCCAUGAUGUCAAUUAUUGGGUUGACUUUUAUACAUGCGAACAAAGUUCUUCACUGCUUCAGUAUGAUAUUCGAUUUAUAGAUGAAAGGUUAUGUUUUUCUUCAGCUUCAUGUUGCUCAUGGUCCAAAGUGAACUUGCUAAAAGAAAAAACACUGUCAUGAUUAUGAUGGAAUAAUAUUUCAAACACUUAGAUUUUUAAUAUAAAAUUGUAUGUAUCUAAGAGCUGGUUGGAGAAUUGUAUAAGAUAUGUCUAUAGUUCAACGAGUUCUGAUAUUUUUGGAGUUUGUUGCAAUAGGAUUUUAUUCGUAAUAUUAAUAAACGAGAUCGAAUAAUUCUUUUUAUUUUAGCCUUAUUAUUUAUUCUGCAGACGUAAAGCAAGAUAAACAUUGUUAGCUCUUAUUUAAUUGCUGUAGCUUUCGUUAUCGUGUCUCGGAUCACGCGAUGGAAGUGAGACGGACGUCGUUAUGGUACAUGACGUAGACCACGAAGGCGACGACGAGUCCUGCGACAUCGGACGUCACCUGCUUGCUCACCACGUUCCCCGACGCGAACUGGAACACCCCCGUCCCUCCCACGAUGGCCUGGUCCGCCUUCCCGGACGCGUCCAUCCUUCCGAUCACCGUGAGCGUGCUGUCGCAGAAGUUUCCCGCCGUGAACACCAGCACCAGCGGUAUCAGCGACGACUCGUCCCGCUGCGACACGUGGAAGCUCACGCCCUGCGCCCUUCCGACUUCAGUCGACCACUUGGAGGGGCCGAUCCUCAGCACGGCGUCGAAGAUGUCGACGUCCCCGAAGGUGUAGGGGAGGCUCAUGUUCACCACGGUGACGGUGGUGUUGUCGGGCCCGAGAAAGGUCUCAUGGAAGUAGACGCGGAAGUGGAUUCUCUUCUGGAUGCCGAGUUCGAACUCGGAGGUGACGGGUAAGGCCGUGGCAGCCGCAAGGAGGGGGAAGAGGACGAGGAGUAAGUAGAGAUGAGAGGAGCUGUGUGGGGAUGAAGCCAUGGCUUUGAUGAUGUUGUGGGAAACAACCUGGGAGCAGUGGCCUCGGGGCCGACGCGACUCAGUUCGAGUCCGAACGACGAGGAUCUUUGCUCGAGGUCUCUCGGGAUUGUCGGAGUGACCGACCGUGCGGACCAGACCACCGUUGGGUUCGUCGGGAUGUCUAGGGGGGAAGGCGUCCUCUCCUUGCGCCCCGGGGAAAUAGCUUCAUCUCCUUACCUGCACACAGGUCGGGUCGGAAGCUCGGCCCGACCCCUCCGACGAUCAAGUUAGUGGAUGUGGAGGGGGUUUAAGAAGAAGAAGUAUUUUUUGUGUCCCUCUUUGGUGUGUUCUCCCCUCCCCCCCUCUCCUGAUGAACGAGAGGGUAUUUAUAGGGAGGCUUAUUGUUUCUCGAUGUGUCCGCUUGCAGGGGGCAGGCUGGUUGUGUCUGACAUUGGUUUGGCGUGACGUGAAGAACCGAGCCUGAGUAGGUGUUAAUGCGCCUUGGCCUAUGUUCCGAUCCGUUUGAUCGGGUGUCGUCGCGUCGUCCGAGGCAUGAGGUGUCAUCUGACGUCAGUCAGGUCUUAUUAUAAUUAAUAUCCUCAUCAUGACAAAAUGAUCGAAGUUAGGUGGGCACAACGCUCGAAAAGGACAUGUAUUUAUAGAAGAGGCGUUGCCAAGCGUCGUCAACAAAUGUCAACUUCCAACUACCGCAAUUAUCAUGUCUGCGAAGGAAGAAGAUGGAUGUUUGGCCUUCCCGGUGAAUGCAUCCUUCAACUCAGAGAUGGAAGAUGGUUCCCGAGUGUGAUCGGUGCGUCUCGUGCAUUUAUUAUAGAGGAUCGUCAUAUGCCUUGUUCGCUUUCAAUGUAAAUAAUUGACCCAAUCCGCGCGCAAUCUAAACCACAUAGUGGGCCCAUCACACAAUGCAUUUCUUUCUCAAGAUGUGUUUGCUUCACCUAUUUCAACUGUUUAUGCGGUCCACAUUAAAACUUCUGUCGGUUCUGCAAAAUUGGCUAAUUAUCGCUUCUUAAUGUUGAAAAUUUAUAACAAGUGUGUGUAAGACUCUCGAUUAAAAAUUUUAAACAUAUUUAGUCCCAAAUUGAUUAGAGUCAAUACCUAAUCAAAUACGAAAAGAUCAUCCCUCCACUCCUACUUAACAAUUUAUUAACAUUAAAAGAGUUCAAGAUUAAUAUUUUUUGAUUGACGUAAAUAAUUUGUGAAAAAUAAAGGUAUUAUUUUGAAUAAAAUAAAUAGUAAAAAAAGGAUCAAAUUGAUUAUGGAAACGUCACAUUUUCACGAAUCAUAAAGCAGCAGACUGCAUCAGUAAGUAAUAUAUAAUUUUGGAUAAAAAUAAAUACUAAAAAAGAUGAAGGGGGAAAUGACGAUGUGAAGAAUCCACAGAGGUGGCUCUCCUCUCUGUCCUCUUCGGUAGCAACAAGCACGAUAUGGUGAUCAAGGCCCGAUCUCUUACUAUUCCUUCUCGUCCAAUUUUCCCAAUCUUGGUUAGAGUUUUAAUUUGAUGGAGUGCUUGACGCCGUCUUGUAGUUUUUUGAUGUCAAAUUCUUGGUUCGAUCUACUGUUCGAUCAAAAUCUUUGAUGGUCCUAUAAACUAGUUGCUCUAUGAUCAACAAAAAUAUUAGGGAUAAUCCUAAUAUUUUAGUAUUUGAUAGGGAUAAUCCUAACACUUGCCAGCUCUUUCAUCAUAUAGGUUAAAGAAGCAACACCUAAGCAUCAGCAUGGGAGUCACCUGCUCCCUGCAACCGCUAGCAUAUAAACUCAUCUAGUUUGAGUUGCAUCACGGGAUAAAUCUGAGGAAUCUAUAUAUUAAAAAAAUCCACCCUUUAUAUUGUUAUUGUCAUAUGAUAUUGGGGUAGAAUCUAAUAAAUGACACAGUUACUCUACAUACACACACACUUAUAUAUAGUCUUAUAGAUGUGGACAUGUGACAUCAACUAAAUGAGCAAUCUAAAAACUAAAAUGCAUUUGUACCUAUUAAGUUUUGUUUUCCAACAUAUAACUUAAUUUAAGAGGGCAAUGCACCAGUUAUGAUUCAAGUAUUAUUCAACAACAUUCACUAAAUCACUCGAGGUUUUAAGAGUCAAAUUUAGAUAAGGACCAGGACAAAAUGAAACUCAAUCAUGAAAAUUAAAACUUCUAAAUAGGAAGAAAUACAAUAUCAUUUUGUUCAGAUAAGUACACAACAUUCCCGUAUUAAUCUCUAUAUUGUAGCCUACUAAUUUAAAGGCACUGUAAGAUUACAAUGUAAUCAACCUAAAAAUAGGCCCCUUCCUCAGCGUCACCAAUUGCAUGUAGCCAUCAUCUAAAACGUCGUCUUAUAUGGUUCUGUAAGAAGACUCUUAUAGAAGUUUUUAUGUGCCCACAUAUUAUCAACAUGGGCCGUGCCACAAUGCAGAAAGCCUUACUCAUGCAACAUUAUUAAAUCAUUCAUAUCCAAAGGAAUUCAUGAAUCACAAUAAAUAGCUACUAACCUCCUUGAUAACAACUAACAAUGUAGAGGAGACCUAAAAAGGUCUAAAUUAUAAGACCCAUAAGUUUAAUCGAUGACAACUUGUUUCUUAAGCACCAUCGUGCGAGUCACUUAUUUCCUAAUAAGUGAUGUGAUUUUUAGAAAGUAAAUAAUAUACAAUCCUUUUUCGUGUGUGAAUAAUAACGAAUGAAUAUUAUAUUUCUAUCUUUAUAUGUGAAAAUAAAAUAAAAUUAAAUUUAAAAUAAUAAUUAAAUAUUUACUAAUUUUUAGGGAGAUUUCAUCUUCUUCUAUAUAAACUAGCUCCCCCUUCCUCAUUCCACACCGAGCAAAAUAAAAGUAUUGAAGAAAAGAUAUUUCAAGAAGAUGAUUUUGAGGUGAGGUAAGAUCCUCUAUUCUUUUCUAAUCAAAUUUUAUUCAUAUUUUAAAAUCUUUAAUAUUAAAAGAUUUUCUAUUCUAUUCUAAUCAGUUUUGAUUCAUAUUUUGAAAUCCUUGAUAUUAAAAUUGUUGUGAUCGUAUGAUGCAUAAUAAUAUUUUAAUUUUAAAAUUUUAUAAUUAAUAAAUAAUGAUAAUUGAUUUAUAAUGUUAGAAUGAUUAUUUGAUUUAUAAUGAUCUUUUAAACUUAAGUAACUUUUAAGAUUGAUUUAAUUAUUAAAACUUUUAUUAUUUUAGAUUAAUAUAAUAGUUUUAAUUUAUUUAGUUAUAUAUAUUUAUAUUUUAAGAAUUAGCUAUAAAUUUGAAUGACUUAAUUAGUUUUAAAUUUAAGAUUAUGAAUUUAAAAUUUUUAAUUUAUGAAUUUAAAAUAUUUUUUUAAUAAUUUAAAAUAUUAAAAAAUUUGAUAAGAUGAGCCAGUCUGACUUGAGGUAGGUUGAUCUGUCAAAUUGAGUCAAUCCAACUCUUAUAUCAUAUUUAUCAUAAUUUAUAUUAUUUUUAGAUUUAUAAAAUAUAUAAAUAUAUAUUUAGCUCAUACUUAACUCAUGACAAUCAUAUUAUUCUAAACAUACUUUCUAAAAUAUAUUAUACAUAUAAUAAGAUAUAUGACUAUUAUUAUAUAGUAAAUUAAAUUUAUACUUAUCAGAUUAAAUUUAAAAAUAAAGAUAUUAAUAAAAAAAUAUGUUCCUUAAUGAUUGAGUGUGCUGAAGAGCAAUAGACCUACCAAACUACGAGCAAAAGGUUAUGAGAUGCUUUAAUUAAGAAUCUUGCAUCUUCAAUUAUUGAUUUAUAGUAUUUUAUAAUAAUAAUUCAUUACAAAAAUAUUUUUUAUAAAUUAAGUUAUACUCAACCUAUCAAUAUCUCAAGUUAUUCCUGAUAGGGGAGUCACCGUGGAGUCAACGGGGAUACGGACCAUGACGCCAGCCAUCCCAUGGUGGGACAAUCAAAGUGACUCCCCUCAGGAAGUGAUGGCGACGCGACAUAACAUGACACCCUCUGCGCGUGGGCCGCACCCUGCCCAAGUGAACGGGCAUUAACGCUGACUCGACGUUCCCAACGUCACCCCCUCAACCAACGACUCCCUCGCCCAUACCCUGCGACACGAUGGUCCGCCACGCAACCCUAAUGGCAAUGUCAAAUCCAGCCAGAGGCACGACCCUAUUCUGACAAGUAGGAACAUCAGGUAAUGUCAGACCCAAACUAUAAAAGAGUCCAGGGCCUAAAGGCCAAAGGGGAGAACUCUACACAGAAAAAAGCCCUUCUCGCCCACUAAUUGGAUCGUCGGAGGGGUUGGGCCAUCAGGACGGCCCGACCUUUGUGCAGGUACACGGCGGCCGACCACCGGGGAUUUGCAGCCGGCCAUCUCUGAAGGCCACCCGCCGAUCGGGUUUGCCCCGAGCGCUCACCCAAAAGGCGUCAAGAGGCUCUACCCAUGAUCUUCGGCAUCCGGACCCCUGAACCGAGCCUUAUCGUCCCGAGAUCACGGCUCAAGCAGGUGCAGACCGCAUCAAUUCCUUGUCCGUAGUAGCUAAAAUUCAACUAUAUUUAGUAUCCAAAGAUUAGAGAUCCAUGAUAAAGUAUGAUGUCAGUAAUUAUGUAUUAAUUGCGUGAUAAAAAAGGUGAAACAUCGUUUGUCCAUUCUCAUAUUUGCUUCCAUGUCCAAUGCUUUAAUUACAUUAUAUUAUAUGCGACAUCGACACGGUCUCAUGUUCACAGAAACACACAACACUAACAAUAUGAUCCAUCGACCAUUUUGUACCCACUUGUUUCAGUUUUCUUUGUGUGUUUCCAGAAAAAAAAAGGCUUUAUGUAGAACGAAGUUUGAUAAUUUUUUAGAAUUAUAGUAGAUUAUAAUGAAAAAAUUGACAGAUAACCUAUCCUUAAUGUCACUCUACAGGAUAUGAGUUUUAUACCACAUAAUACUCCUCGUUUAAUUCUUUCCAAGUAAUUAGAUCUUUUUCUUCAUUCAAGAAUUUUAUAUGAUGCAUAAAAGCAUUCAUGAAUUUUAUAUAUAUAUAUAUAUAUAUAUAUAUAUAUAUAUAUAUAUACUUUAUUUUAUUAUAUUGAGUUUGGCUGUACAAUAUUAUUUUAGUUGAUCUUAUUAACCACUUUACAGUGUGGUCCGAUGCACUACGAAUUCUAAAUAGGAGAAGAAUUGAUUUACUACAGUCAUAUAUACCUAAAAAAUAAAACAUGUCACCGUACUUUGCUGCCAAAUAUCGACGUUUGUAAAACCUUUUCUUUCUCAAUAAUAAGAAGCUUUAAUUUAUUUUAAGAGAAAGAUGAAGAACAAAGUGACACGUAGAAUAGCAUUUAGUUCAGCCUUUUGUUUUGUCCUUAUUCCAAUUACUGUCUUCGUGGAGUGACGCCAGAGGCCGAGCUUCUUUGUGCCUUGUAUUAAGCUUCGGUGACGGCCACGUCGUUUAAUCAUGCGAUGGCACUGCGACCGACGUCGGUGUAGUAGAUGACGUAGACGUCGAAGGCGGCGACGAGGCCCUCGACGGAGGACGUCACCAGCUUGCUCGCCAGCUUCCCCCAUGCGUACUGGAAAACCCCCGUCCCACCCACGAUGGCCCGCUCCGCCUUCCCGGACGCGUCCAGUCUCCCGAUCGCCGUGAGCGUGCUGUCGGCGAACUCUCCCGUNNNNNNNNNNNNNNNNNNNNNNNNNNNNNNNNNNNNNNNNNNNNNNNNNNNNNNNNNNNNNNNNNNNNNNNNNNNNNNNUUAGACGAUAUUUUAGACUCUCUUAAAAAGGUAAGUAUGUAAGCAUCAUCAUAAUAAUAUUUUAGAGAUUAACAUUAGAAAGGAUUUCAAAUCCUCAAUUCAAAGUUGAGUCUUUUAGAUGUAAGAAUAUCUCAAACUAAAUUCUUGAAUCAUCAAUCAAUAAGUGAAUUUUUAUCAUGUUUAUAGAUUAAAAUGAAUCAUAUACAAUUAAUGAGACUUAGCAUGAUAAAUUUAAGUAAUUCUUAUUGAAAAUAUUUAUGUACGUGAGAUAAAAAAAGAUGAGAGAAAAGUAAUAUAUGACUAAAGAUUGAAGGAGUCAGAGUACAGAAAGUCGGUUUGACAAGUAACACCACGUUUAGCCUUCCUCUUGAACGCCGGUCUCGUUCCAAAAUCGCCGGCCGGACCACUUCGCUCUCCGCCGACAACACGCAACGUCUAGUUUCGCUGGGAUAUGGGUGAUGCGGGUCAAAGUAGAUGAAGCCAUCGACAUGAACGAUGUCGUCUGUAUUCGUCUCUAUCCUCGUCUUCUCAUCUCAGGACAAUAUCUUCCACCUCACGGUAUCAUACGUUGCAUGGUAGGUGAACAAGGAGGAAAGCCAUCAUCCAUGGGGCUGCUUUUGGUUGGUUAAUGGUGAGGGUUCCAUCACAUUUGUUCCGUGUGAUACACGUUUUCUUUCCACCUUUGGUGAAAGAAGAACAUUUGGUGACUAUAAGGGCAUAUUUGCAUAUCAAAUUUGCGAUAAAAAGGGAUGUGGAUGAGACCAUCAAUGUGAUUGAUGCCUCAAUUUUGGAGAAGGAACGCACGUCGUUUACGAUUGCUGCUCUUCGUUACUCGUCGAUCUCCUCAUCCAUCAGUAUGAACUGGAUGAGAGAAUAAUAUUCAAAUUACUCAUUUAAUAUUUUUCUUACUUAAUAGGAGUUUCUAUAGCUCAUGAUUCAUAACUUUAUUUUUGUCCCUUGUAUAAGAGCUGAUUUAAGUUUCUGUAUAGUUUUAUCAAUAGUGUUUUUUAUGCUAGUUUUACUUAUGACGCUGAAUGGCUUAUCUUAAUAACAAACUGAGCAUUCAUUUCAUUAAACAUUUAAUUAGANNNNNNNNNNNNNNNNNNNNNNNNNNNNNNNNNNNNNNNNNNNNNNNNNNNNNNNNNNNNNNNNNNNNNNNNNNNNNNNNNNNNNNNNNNNNNNNNNNNNNNNNNNNNNNNNNNNNNNNNNNNNNNNNNNNNNNNNNNNNNNNNNNNNNNNNNNNNNNNNNNNNNNNNNNNNNNNNNNNNNNNNNNNNNNNNNNNNNNNNNNNNNNNNNNNNNNNNNNNNNNNNNNNNNNNNNNNNNNNNNNNNNNNNNNNNNNNNNNNNNNNNNNNNNNNNNNNNNNNNNNNNNNNNNNNNNNNNNNNNNNNNNNNNNNNNNNNNNNNNNNNNNNNNNNNNNNNNNNNNNNNNNNNNNNNNNNNNNNUAAUUGGAUAAGAUAUAUAAUAUAACUAAUUGUUGUAAGUAUUAGAUUUUGUGAUCCUUUUAUAAUUGGAUAUAUAUAUUAGAUAUAACAAGAGGUACGUCUGUAAACACGUACAGACGUACCUCUUGUUGGGAAAUCUUGGGGGCGACAUCACAUGCACAGCGGAAGAACAAGAAAACAAAAUCCUCUAUUCCCAAAGAGAUGUUCGUCGUCGUGCAAAGAUUGGUGCGCAAAAUCCGUGAAACUUAAAACUACGUAUAGAGUAGAUUGUGUUACCUAGGGAGAUCGUAUAUCCUUGUUUCGUUACAGCUUUUUAGGAGAGGAUGAAAGAGGUCAAGCGUCCUCCUCUCUAGCGGUGAUCUACAUAGUAGGGUUGCGACGAUGCUCCUCAAAACUCCAGGCCUGCUAUGAGGUGGAGAGGGAGAGGAGAAUAGGAGAGGCAAGCAAAUGCUCUAGCUCUGAAUCCCUCCUAUUUAUAGAAGCCCCUUGUCAAAAACCUAAUGGAUCCUCCCCUAGUGGAUAUUGGAUCUACAUCUAAUUACCCAAGCCUUUUAGAUUAGUGGAUCUUUAUCCAAUAAUAUCACAUUGGCUCUUAUUGGAUCUCGUCCAUGGGAUCCAAUAAUUCAUGGGCUUAUUGGAUAUCCAAUAAGACAAGGGCUCUAGCGGAUAUCUCAUAUCCGAACCUUUACUUAUCGUAAUGCCUACCAUAUGUGUGUGACCCUCUAGACCCAAUAUCGAGUUGGCUGUGAGUUAUACUUGUCAGAACUCCUUCUAACUUAGUGAAUUAUUAUCUAUGCAAUAAUUCACUCGACUCAUCGACUACGGACGUAUUAGACCACUACGUCGUAGUCCCCAGACGAUACAGGGGAAUCCAAUCCAUUGGACCUGUCUGUCCUUAGUUACCGUGUACUUAUAGUCCCUCAUCCACCUAAUAUCCCAGAGACCGUAUAUCGAGCAUGGUGUUGUUAGACUCAUACGGUUUUUACUCGAGUCUCGCUCUACUCGGAUUCUCCCGGAGAACUGUUUCUCUCUUAACCCGAAUGGCCCUAGCCAGGGAUUUGUCUGAGCAAGAACACAUGGGAUAUUCCUCUCAUGAUGUCGAGAGUGGAUGAUUCUCUAUCGACACUCAAUAGCCCUCGUAAUGUCGACUGUCACUCCCAAUGACAAGUUGUAUUAGAUCUGGGACAGCCAAACCUAUAAGUCUGGUAUCAAAGAGUGGAGCACUCAUACAGGACAUCCUUGGUGUCUCAAGUCUAAGGACCAGAUACACCACUAGGACUACGGAAUUGCUGUCUAACAAUAAGGCAUCAUUAACCAUCCAACAUUCCGUAAGAGGAUCAAUCAAUUAACUCAUUCUCCAAUGAGCACCUAUACUAUAUCCCUAGUGUCCCUAUAUGAGCAACUAUGAAACCAACUGCAUCCAUCAUAUGGACGAGUAUACAGCACACCAAUUUGUCCGGUUAUUAUGAUGUCUCUUUCGAGUAACCUAUGAUCGGGAUUAUUUAUGAUAUGUGUUUAAAGGUAAAUCGAUCUUAUUAUCGUGAUCUCAUCACGAUCUGAUUCCCAUUGCACAGAUCCAAGGACAUCACAAUAUAUACAUGCAUAUAUGCAAUAGUUAAUAUAAAGUGAUAAAUAUCAAAAUAUAAUAAGUAAAAAAAAGAUUCUGUGUCAAGUCACACGUGUAUCACUCACGUGAUUGGCUUGUUGGGCACCUAUAACUAGCACCUCUCCGUCUCCAUUGAGGGAUUAUAGUUUUCUCAAAAAAAUCAUCAAUCUAAUUGGUCCCGUGAAAGGAUAGAAAGAGAGGAGAAAGGAUAUACUCAUUGUAGAUUCUGCAACGAUCUUGGAUUAAAGACGGUGCAUUGAAGAUCAAACAAAAAUAUUUGAACAAGCAUCAAAAGGUACGUAUCGUUAAACGAGAUCUAUGUAUUUGAUUUCAAUCCUGGUAUAAAGGUUAUUUUCGUAUUUUAAACAACACAUUACAGUUUUUUUGCUUACAAUUUGGUAUCAAAGCCUGGUUUUUUAAAUCAAACACAUUAUAUCUAUUAUUUUGAUGCAUGAUUGGCUUAGGUUUUGCAAAAUUAUAGUUUUACCCUUUGUAAAUUUCAUAAUUCUGAUUUAUGUUCUGUCAACAUAUUUAUGGUUUUUGUCAUCGGGUCUAAUUUCUAUCAAAUUAUAGUUCUACCCUUUAUAAAUCACAUGAUUUCAAUUUAUAUCCUUUCAAAUAUUUAUAGUUUUAUCGAAAUUGAGAAAUUUAGUUUAUAUUCUCAAUUAUAAAAUUGAUAAAUAUGAUUUAUUAUAAUUAUGAUUAAAUUUAAUCAUAAUUAUAUUUUUGAUUAUUUUAUUAUAUUUAAUUUUGAUAAAAAAUAUAAAUUAUGGUUUACUUUAUAGUUUUCUCAUAUGAAAUAUUAAUUAUAUAUGUAGUAAAUAAAAUCAAAAUAUAAUUAUUAUUUUUAAAAUUUUAUUUACUUAUUCACAUGUAUAUAUUUGAAAUUAUGAAAUAAUGUUUAUCUUUCACAUGAAGGCAUGAUUUAUAUGUUAUCAUGAUUAUCAUAUGAGUUUUCUUUUACUGAUUAAAGUUCAAUAAUUAUUAUGGUUAUUCUAUUAUUGAACUGCUUAGUGGGACUUGAAUGAGCUAACUAGCAUGUGUGGGACUUGAAUGAGCUAACUAGCAUGUGUGGGACUUGAAUGAGCUAUUAUUCACUAUAAUACAAAUAAGGAUAAGUGGGACUUGAAUGAGCUAACUAGCAUGUGUGUUCAGGAAGAAUUGAGAUUAAGACAGGAAAGUUCAUAUAAUGUCAUUACUACUACUCAAGGAGGUGGUAAUAAGAAAAGAAAGUUAAAGCAUCAUCCAUCAAAGAGAUUUGUCGAGUCUGAAAAUGUUAAACAGACUAAUGGAAAGAAAGUCUUUACUGUAAAGUAUUUUUUUUGUGACAAGAAAAGAACAUGUGAAGAAGGACUGCAUUAAAUGCAAGACUUGGUUCGAAAAUAAAGGUAUUAAUUCGACCUUUAUAUGUUUUGAAUCAAACAUUACAAAAGUUCCUUCAAACACUUGGUAGAUUGAUUCUGAUGCUUCAACUCAUGUUACCAAUAAGGAUUUCUUUCAAUUCCAAAACCAAAAGAACAUUAAAGAUUUAUUAAUAUGGGAAAUCGUCUUAAAGCGAAAGUGAUAUAAAUGAGAACUUAUCAUCUACGCAUAGAGACGGGUCACCUGAUGGAUCUUAUUGACACAUGUUAUGUCCCUACAAUUUCUAAAAAUUUAGUUUCUUUUUCUAGAAUUGAUGAGUUAGGAUAUUGUCUUUCUUUUGAUAGUGGCAAACUCAGUAUGUUUUAUGAUUCAAUAAAAGUUAGUUCCGGAAUUCUGUAUGAUGGUUUGUAUAGAAUUAAUUUGGAUAUUGAGUUUACAAAGACAUUAAUAACCCUACAAUCAAGUGUUAGAUUGAAACGUAGUUUCAAUAAUGAAAGAUCUUCUAUAUUGUGGCAUAUACGAUUGGUGCAUAUCUCCAAGGAAAAAAUUGAAAGAUUAGUGAGGAUAAUAUUUUGGAACAUUUAGACUUCACUAAUUUUGAUAUUUGUAUAGAUUGUAUUAAGGGAAAGCAAACUAAACAUAUAAAGAAAAAUGCCACAAGAAGUAAAGAAUUCGUUCAGAUUAUUCAUGCUGAUAUCUGCGGACCACUCCAUAUUCCUUGUUUUAGUGGAGAAAGGUAUUUUAUCACAUUUAUAGAUGAUCUGUCCAGAUAUGACUAUGUUUAUCUAAUACAUAAAAAGUCUCAAGCCAUUGAUACAUAAAUGAGGUCGUGAGACAAUUAGAUAUAAAAGUUAAAAUUGUCAGAUCUGACAAGUUUAAUGAAUUUUAUGGUAGAUAUGAUGGAUCUGGUUAGAAUAUUGGUUCUUUUGCUAGAUUCCUAGAACAAUGGGAUAUUUAUGCUCAAUAUGUAUUACCAGGUGUGCCAUAGCAGAAUGAUGUUGCUGAAAGGGGAAAUCAUACUCUUAUGGAUAUGGUUAGGAGCAUGAUAAGUUAUUCCUCUGUACUUAAGUCGAUGUGGUGUGAAGCUCUUAUAACAGCUAUGUACACAUUGAACAGGAUUCUUAGUAAGUCUGUUUCAUCGACUCCAUUUGAGUUAUGGACUGGUAGGAAGUCCAGUCUAAGACAUUUACAUAUUUGGGGGUGUCCUACAAAGAUAAAAGUAUUUAAUCCAUAUGAAACGAAAUUUGAUCUAAGAACUAUUUCAGGAUAUUUUAUUGGUUAUCUAGAAAAAUCCAAGGGAUACAGAUUUUAUUGCCCUAAUCAUAGUAUGAGGAUAGUAGAAUCUAGUAAUGCAAAAUUAUUAGAAAAUGGUGAAAUCAAUGGGAGUAAAAAAUCUUGAAUGAUUAAUUUUGAUAUUGAGGAGAUUUAGGUUAAUUCUCCUAUAUCAUCUCUUAUUUAAGAGAUUGUUGUUCCUCAAAUCAAUGAGAGUAUUAAUGAGGGUGAAUAAUAAAAUAACAUCGAAGAACUCUCACAUAAUGUUGAUGUCACCGCUGAUGAUCUUGUAGAACAAUCACAAUUGGCAGAUUUAAGAAGAUCUCAAAGGAAAAAGAAACAUGUCAUUUCUGAUGAUUAUGUGGUAUAUUUACAAGAAUCAAAUUAUUAUAUAGGAAUAAAAAGAGACCCCUUAUCGUUUCCACAAGCUAUAGAAAGUAAUGAUUAUGAAAAAUGGUAUGAUGCAAUGAAAGAAGAGUUAAAAUCAAUGGUUCAGAAUGGUGUCUAAGAUCUCGGUGAAAUGCCCAAUAAUUGUAAAAGAGUCGAUUGUAAAUGCGUCUUUAAGAUAAAAUGUGACUCAACGUGCAAUAUCAAACGAUUUAAAGCCAGACUUGUGGCCAAAGAUUUUUCUCAAAAGGAAGAUAUCGACUAUAAUGAGACUUUUUCUUCAGUUUCUAAAACAGACUCAUUGAGAAUUAUCAUGACAUUAGUAACUCAUUAUGAUCUUGAGUUUCAUCUGAUGGAUGUGAAAAUAACAUUUCUGAAUGGGGAUCUGGAUAAGGAAAUCUAUAUGGAACAACCUGAAGGAUUCGUAGAAAAGGGAAAAGAAGGUUAGGCUUGUAAACUUAAGAAAUCUAUUUAUGACAUUAAACAAACUUCUAGACAAUGGUAUAUAAAGUUUCAUAAUACCAUUACUUCCUUCGGAUUUAAGGAAAAUACUGUUGAUCAGGGUAUAUAUCUGAAGGUAAGUGAGAGCAAGGCAGCCUAUGUUAUUAGUAUUGAGAUAUUCAGAGAUAGAUCUCAAGGAUUAUUAGAAUUAUCUCAGAAAGGUUAUAUUGAUCGUAUGUUGGAGAGAUUUAAUAUGCAACUUUGCUCAGCCAAUGAUAUACCUAUUACUAGAGGUGAAAAUUUCAAUUAAAACCAGUGUCCAAGAAAUGACUUAGAAAAGAAUCAAAUGAAAAAUAUUCCUUAUGAGUGCGUAGUUGGAAGUCUAUUAUAUGCUCAAACUUGUACAAGACCAGAUAUCAAUUUUGCAAUUGCAAUACUGGGAAGAUACCAAAGCAACCCAGGAAUGAAACAUUGUAAAGCUGCAAAGAAAGUAAUGAGAUAUGUACAAGGAACGAAAGAUUAUAUGCUCACAUAUAGGAGAUCAGAUCAGCUUGAAGUAAUAGGAUAUUCAGAUGCUGAUUUUGUAAAUUGCCUCGACAGUAGGAAGUCCACUUCAGGAUUUAUAUUUAUGUUAGCUGGUGGGGCAAAUUCUUGGAAAAGUGUAAAGCAAUCACUUAUUGCAUCAUCCACAAUGGAAGCUGAAUUUGUGACAUGCUUUGAGGCCACAAAUCAAGUUUUAUAGCUGCGAAAUUUCAUCUCAGGAUUUGAUAUGGUCGACUCAAUUGCCAAACCACUGAAUAUAUUUUGUGAUAAUACCACAACAGUUUUCUUCUCUAAGAAUGACGAGUAUUUUAGUGGUUCCAAGCAUAAUGAGAUAAAGUACUUUGUAGUUAGAGAAAGAGUCCAGAAACAGCAAGUGCCAAUUGAGAACCUGAACACCACUAUGAUGAUUGCUGAUCCAUUAACAAAGGCCUUACAAUAUAGAAUAUUUAAAGAACAUGCUCUUAGAAUGAGGCUUGUGCGCAAGUCAUAAAGGAUAUGAUGACACAUAUUUAUAUGGAUGUUAUUAUUAAUAUUCUUCUUGCUUAAUUAAACUUAUUUGUUUCUGCCAUCCUUUUUACAUUUAUGUUUAUGCAUAUUAUAGUUGAAUGUAAUAACAAGAUAAAUUAUCAUUAUAGACUAUAUUAGGAAAGACUAACAAUGUUGUGGUACAUAGAAGGAAGUAUGACAUUGAUGAAAUACAACCGCUAUGAUUCGUAUUGAUAGUUGGACUUAAUAUAGUAUUAUUAUGUUUAUUGGACUUAUUGGCUUAUUAAAAAAAAAACAUGGCCACGUAUAAAAUAUUUUUCAAAAUUCUUUAGAAUCCAAUUAGGUAAAAUUAUUUUUUAAAUAAAUUUUAUUUUUAUUUAUUUUGAUUUUGAUUAUCUCUUUUAUAUCUUAUCAAUUAAUGGAUCAAGUGGGAGAAUGUUAGAUUUUCUGAACAGAUGACAUCAAACAAAAAUUUCUGAACAAAUGACAUCAAAAGAUAGCAUCGUUAAACGAUAUCAAUAUAUUUGAUUUCAAUCUUGACAUAAAGGUUAUUUCCGUAUUUUAAACAGCAUAUUACUGUUUUUAUUUUUACAAUAAUAGGUUUUCAUUCAUAAUUUUAUUAAACGAGAUCGACAUUUCUUUUUAUUUCAGCCUUAUCAUAUAAUAGUUCAUCUCCUGACAUAUCUGAUCGCCGUGGCUUUAAUUAUCGUCUCGCGGAUCACGCGAUUGCGGUGAGACGGACGUCGUCAUAAUAGACGACAUAGAUGUCGAAGGCGGCGACGAGUCCCGCUUUGUCGGACGUCACCAGUUUGCUCACCAUGUUCCCCGACGCGAACUGGAACACCCCCGUCCCUCCCACGAUGGCCCGGUCCGCCUUCCCGGAGGUGUCCAUCCUCCCUAUCACCGUGAGCGUGCUGUCGCAGAAGUCCCCCGCCGUGAACACCAGCACCAGCGGUAUCAGCGACGACUCGUCCCGCUGCGACGCGUGGAAGCUCACGCCCUGUGCCCUCCCGACUUCAGUCGAACGCUUGGAGGGGCCGGUCCUCAGCACGGCGUCGAAGAUGUCGACGUCCCCGAAGGUGUUGGGGAGGCUCAUGUUCACCACGGUCACGGUGGUGUUGUCGGGGCCGAGAAAGGUCUCGUGGAAGUAGACGCGGAAAUGGAUUCUGCUCUGCCGGCCGAGUUCGAACUCGGAGGUCACCGGGAAGGCCGUGGCAGCAGCCAGGAGGAGGAAGAAGACGAGGAGGAAGUAGAGAUGAGUGAAGCUAUUUGGGGAUGAAGCCAUGGCUAGGAUGACCGAAGGAUCGAAGUGAGGUGGGUACAACGCUGGAUCAGGAACAUGUAUUUAUAGAGUAAAGUCUGUGCCAUGCGUCGUCAACAAAUGCCAACGUCCAACCAAAUCUCAUUAUCAUGUCUACAUAAAAUACUCAAACGAAUAUUACUCUUGCAGGCGAAGGUAUCCGCGUAGGGAAGAAGAUAGCAUAUAGUAACACGAUGUACACACC
rnacentral:lncRNA from 1 species